rnacentral:rRNA from 1 species
GUGUCAGCAGCCGCGGUAAUACGUAGGGGGCGAGCGUUGUCCGGAUUUAUUGGGCGUAAAGCGCACGCAGGCGGUUUCGUAAGUUUGGAGUGACAGUGCUCGGCUCAACUGAGCAAGGCCUCUGAAAACUGCGGGACUUGAGGACCAGAGAGGGACAUAGAAUUCCGGGUGGAGUGGUGAAAUGCGUAGAUAUCCGGAGGAAUACCAAAGGCGAAGGCAGUGUCCUGGCUGGUGACUGACGCUGAGGUGCGAAAGCUAGGGGAGCGAACAGGAUUAGAAACCCUGGUAGUCC